rnacentral:rRNA from 1 species
UAAGACGUGGGAUAACGUUACGGGAAACCGGAGCUAAUACCGGAUAAUAUAUUGAACCGCAUGGUUCAAUAGUGAAAGACGGUUUUGCUGUCACUUAUAGAUGGAUCCGCGCCGCAUUAGCUAGUUGGUAAGGUAACGGNCUUACCAAGGCAACGAUGCGUAGCCGACCUUGAGAGGGUGAUCGGCCACACUGGAACUGAGACACGGUCCAGACUCCUACGGGAGGCAGCAGAC